GCGGCGUGCUUACACAUGCAAGUCGAACGAGAAAUCUUUAGCUUGCUAGAGAAAGUAAAGUGGCGCACGGGUGAGUAACGCGUGGGUAAUCUGCUUCCGAAUCGGGGAUAACAUUGCGAAAGCGAUGCUAAUACCGGAUAAAAUCUGGUUGGCUUCGGUGAACCGGAUCAAAGGUGGUCUCUUUAUAAAAGCUACCGUUUGGAGAUGAGCUCGCGUACCAUUAGCUAGUUGGUGAGGUAAAGGCUCACCAAGGCGACGAUGGUUAGCUGGUCUGAGAGGAUGAUCAGCCACACCGGAACUGGAACACGGUCCGGACUCCUACGGGAGGCAGCAGUGAGGAAUUUUGCGCAAUGGGGGAAACCCUGACGCAGCAACGCCGCGUGAGUGAUGAAGGCUUUCGGGUCGUAAAGCUCUGUCAGGUGGGAAGAACCCACCAAGUGUUAAGACCACUUGGUGCUGACGGUACCACCGAAGGAAGCACCGGCUAACUCCGUGCCAGCAGCCGCGGUAAUACGGGGGGUGCGAGCGUUAUUCGGAAUCAUUGGGCGUAAAGGGCGCGCAGGCGGUUUUGUAAGUCAGAUGUGAAAUCCCGGGGCUUAACCCCGGAAGUGCAUAUGAAACUAUGAGACUUGAGUAUGGGAGAGGGAAGCGGAAUUCCUGGUGUAGCGGUGAAAUGCGUAGAUAUCAGGAGGAACACCGGUGGCGAAGGCGGCUUCCUGGACCAAUACUGACGCUGAGGCGCGAAGGCGUGGGGAGCGAACAGGAUUAGAUACCCUGGUAGUCCACGCAGUAAACGUUGAUCACUAGGUGUAGCGGGUAUUGACCCCUGCU
rnacentral:rRNA from 1 species